rnacentral:misc_RNA from 1 species
GAUGAAGAACGUAGUGAAAUGCGAUAAGUAAUGUGAAUUGCAGAAUUCAGUGAAUCAUCGAAUCUUUGAACGCACAUUGUGCCCGCCAGUAUUCUGGCGGGCAUGCCUGUUCGAGCGUCAUUUCAACCAUCAAGCCCCCGGCUUGUGUUGGGGACCUGCGGCUGCCGCAGGCCCUGAAAAGCAGUGGCGGGCUCGCUGUCACACCGAGCGUAGUAGCAUACAUCUCGCUCUGGGCGUGCUGCGGGUUCCGGCCGUUAAACCACCUUCAUAACCCAAGGUUGACCUCGGAUCAGGUAGGAAGACCCGCUGAACUUAAGCAUAUCAAUAAGCGGAGGA